rnacentral:rRNA from 1 species
AGGAAUCUGCCUGGUAGUGGGGGACAACGUUUCGAAAGGAACGCUAAUACCGCAUAACGUCGCAAGACCAAAGUGGGGGACCUUCGGGCCUCGCACCAUCGGAUGUGCCCAGAUGGGAUUAGCUAGUAGGUGGGGUAAUGGCUCACCUAGGCGACGAUCCCUAGCUGGUCUGAGAGGAUGACCAGCCACACUGGAACUGAGACACGGUCCAGACUCCUACGGGAGGCAGCAGUGGGGAAUAUUGCACAAUGGGCGCAAGCCUGAUGCAGCCAUGCCGCGUGUAUGAAGAAGGCCUUCGGGUUGUAAAGUACUUUCAGCGGGGAGGAAGGCGGUGAAGUUAAUAGCUUCACCGAUUGACGUUACCCGCAGAAGAAGCACCGGCUAACUCCGUGCCAGCAGCCGCGGUAAUACGGAGGGUGCAAGCGUUAAUCGGAAUUACUGGGCGUAAAGCGCACGCAGGCGGUCUGUCAAGUCGGAUGUGAAAUCCCCGGGCUUAACCUGGGAACUGCAUUCGAAACUGGCAGGCUAGAGUCUUGUAGAGGGGGGUAGAAUUCCAGGU